rnacentral:lncRNA from 1 species
AUUUGUUGUAAUAUUUAAUAAUUCAAUAGUAAAAGUUUCCUCGGCGAAAAUAGAAUUUGAAUAAUACCAAAUAAAAAAAUAGUAAAAAUUGAUUUGGCAUUCGGUCACAUAGAAAACAGUCGCAAAGGGAAAUGACUUUCUUAGAAAUGGUGAUCAUGUUCCCUACCUUCUCCAUCUUGUCAAUUUCUUCUCUCAUGUUAUUACCACAUCAAAUUAG